GAUACCCUACUAUACUAAAAGGAGAUAUUAAAAACUGGAUUAUUAAUAGUUAUGUUCUUUAAAUUUGAAGAAUUUGGCGGUAAUUUAGUCUUGUUAGAGGAACCUGUUUCUUAAACGAUAAACCACGUAAAAUUUUACUUAUCAUUGUUUUCAGUUUGUAUACCGUCAUUAACAGAUAAUUUUUAAAGAAAGAAUUAUUAUAUUUAAUAGUUUAAUAAAAUUAGAUCAAGGUGCAGCUUAUAGAUAAGUUGGAAUGGGUUACAAUAAAUUUUAUUUAUAAUGGAUAAAAGAAGGAAAUUUUUUUUUGAAGGAGGAUUUGAUUGUAAUGGAGGUUUAAUAUGCCUAGGUGAUAUAAGCUCUAAAUUAUGUACAU
rnacentral:rRNA from 1 species